rnacentral:rRNA from 1 species
AUUGAACGCUGGCGGCAUGCCUUACACAUGCAAGUCGAACGGUAACAGGUCUUCGGAUGCUGACGAGUGGCGAACGGGUGAGUAAUACAUCGGAACGUGCCUAGUAGUGGGGGAUAACUACUCGAAAGAGUGGCUAAUACCGCAUGAGAUCUACGGAUGAAAGCAGGGGAUCGCAAGACCUUGUGCUACUAGAGCGGCCGGUGGCAGAUUAGGUAGUUGGUGGGAUAAAAGCUUACCAAGCCGACGAUCUGUAGCUGGUCUGAGAGGACGAUCAGCCACACUGGGACUGCGACACGGCCCAGACUCCUACGGGAGGCAGCAGUGGGGAAUUUUGGACAAUGGGCGCAAGCCUGAUCCAGCAAUGCCGCGUGCAGGAUGAAGGCCUCCGGGUUGUAAACUGCUUUUGUACGGAACGAAAAGCCCUGGGUUAAUACCCUGGGGUCAUGACGGUACCGUAAGAAUAAGCACCGGCUAACUACGUGCCAGCCGCCGCCGUAA